UACGAAGGGUGCAAGCGUUAAUCGGAAUUACUGGGCGUAAAGCGCGCGUAGGCGGUUCAGCAAGUUGAAGGUGAAAUCCCCGGGCUCAACCUGGGAACUGCCUCCAAAACUACUGAGCUAGAGUACGGUAGAGGGUAGUCGAAUUUCCUGUGUAGCGGUGAAAUGCGUAGAUAUAGGAAGGAACACCAGUGGCGAAGGCGACUACCUGGACUGAUACUGACACUGAGGUGCGAAAGCGUGGGGAGCAAACAGG
rnacentral:rRNA from 1 species